UUGGUAUUGAUCUUUCUUCUCUAAGAACGAUCACCCUGUAAAUCUGAACAAAGUUUGGAUCGUGAUAAACUCUUUAAUCUUUUUCUUCUCUUCUUCUCUUAUUCUUAUUCCCUUGAUUAUGAAGUAACCAAGGUCUGAAAAUCAGCAAGUAAGAAGGGAUGCCCAAACACCUUUUGGGCAUAGAGAUGUAGGAUGCCCAAGCUCCUUUGGGCAUUGAAACCAAAGGGAGAAG
rnacentral:lncRNA from 1 species